CUUGCUGGAAAACGCAGUGAUGGAGUUCCCGUCGUGGCGCAGUGGUUAACGAAUCCGACUAGGAACCAUGAGGCACUAUGGGAACUCCUACACAUUGUAAAUAUCUUAAGAUAUUUUCUAUCUCAUAAUACAGUGUUUAAAUGUCCCUUUUAUUUUCUGUUGUUUUAUCUUAUCGGCACAAUUGCCUUACGGUCAAUCAGUUCGUUACACAGUGACACCACCUAUGGCAAAGAGGUUUACUGGGAAAACACUGGACGUGGCCAGACCCACUGCAGCAUCUGGGCUGCAGGGGCGGUGCCUGGGCUCCUGCACCCAGAGAGGUCAUCUCGUUCAAAGGGACAGUCAGGAGAAGGCGUCAGAGGGAAGGACCCAGACCACAAGAGACACUGCUGGGGCGGAAUCCUAAACUCGGAGAGAAUGGGCGGAACCAGAGAAACAAGCCACUUAGGAAAAGCAGGACUUCAGAGGGACAGGGAGGCGCUUCGGGGGGACCAGGUGCUCACAGCCCCCAGGGGACCCUCCUCCCUGGACCCAGGACCAAAACCCACUCUCCAGCCACUCCCAGCAGACAGGCAUCCACCCACACCGGCUCUCUGCUUAGGGGAAACUUUUCUGUUUUGUAGGCAGAUCCUGGAGUCAAUUUUGAUGCAGAAAAUACCUCUUAAGAUCUUCCUAUUGGCCUGGUCUUGCCCACACCAAAUUCUCUAAGACGGACUGGGAUUAAACAAAGCAGCCUUCUGAAUGGGAGCUUGGGAGGGAAGGCGGAAUUAUUAAUGGUGGGUUCCUCCCUGCCUUGUCUUUUUUUCUUUUUCAGCUGUGCCCGUGGCAUACAGAAGUUCCUGUGCCAGGGCUCCAACCCUCGCCACAGCUGUAACCAGGGCUGCUGCAGUGACAGUGCUGGGUCUUUAGCCUGCUGAGCCUCAAGAGAACUCACAUACUUUUUUUUUCCCCUCAUGCACUAUUUCACGCGGGAUCUUUGAAGUUACACAGAGCUCUAUCUAGAGUUUGAUCUACUCUCUGGGGCGCCAGUUUGCAAACUGCUGCCAGCAAAUUUCAUCAAUGCAACUCUGGGGCCAAACGGCCAACGGCUCAGCCCAGAGACUUCUGGAGGCCAGAAUCUUCCUCCCCGGGGAAAAGGGGGGUCGAGGCUUGUGGGUGAUGACACUUUUUUUUCUGCUCCCUUCAGGGCCGGGAAAUGCCCUUGAUUAUAAAAAUGGAAAGAAAAGAGCCAGCCCCCUUCGUUUCCAUUCUGAGAGCCAUUAAUAGAAGCUGGAUUUACAUAAAUUCACAGACUGGAGCCACUUUCUUUUUUUAGGGCAGUAGAGCUUUUGCUUUUUAUUCUAAUAAGACUUGUGUGGUUUUUUUUUUUUUUUUUCCUUUUGAUUAGCUUCUGCAUCCAGCCCACUGAUAACAAGUCCAUCAUUUAAUUAAGUAACAUUCAUCAACGGUGUCAGAACACUUGAAGGAUGGGCUGGCACAGCGAGAGUUUGAUGAAGUGAGCAGGACUCCCUGGGGCCCGGAAGCUGAGCCAGGCCAGGGUUGGGCUGAGGGGGCGGCUGUGCAGAGCUUCCUCCUGUUGCCAAAGCAAGAAGGAGCCACUGACGGCUGUGCCCAGGCCGGCCAUGGGGCUGCUGCCCAUCUGGGCUCCAAGGCCCUGACUCUCUAGCUUGCUUCUGUGAUGACCUGAAAGCUUGGGGAUUCGAGUUCC
ensembl:lncRNA